CUUUAUAACAAACACAGUUAACCAGUGCCGCACGAAUGGAUUUGUGGUUACGCUUCUUGGUAGAAGAAGAUUCUUACCAGCCAUCAAUAGCAACAAUGCAGUUCAAAGAGGUAUCGGUUCAGAUGCGCAUUUUUAAAAACUCGUUUUAGUGCUGUAUUCUUCUGAUUUUUAUCGUAGCUCAAGCGGAGCGGCAAUAUUCGAAGUUCCAACUGAGAAUAAUCCGCCGAAAGCAAGAUAGUUCCUAUAUUUGAAAAAAAAAAAAGAAUUACUAACCGGAAACAUUUCUUAGAUAAGGACAAAUAAGAUAAAUCCGGUUAGGUUCUCAAUGCUCAAUCUCAGCGCACAGAGAGGCCCUUUUACUUGUUUCUUCACCGUUUGCAGGCAUAUCGUGAUGAUUUCACAUCUCAAUAUUGCCCCAGCACCGUAGUAAUCCUUACCGAAUCUUAUUCUAUUUUCUCUACAGGAAGGACUACAACUUAAACUAUUACAUCAAACUUAGGACUUUUAAUUUUCUUAUGCACCAUCAUUCCUAAUGCACCACCUAGCCUUAUUCCCUAAUGCACCACCUUCCUUUUAAUUUUCUUAUGGUUAAAUAGGAUUCAAACCUAAUUCCUCCUAGUUCCCAGUAACUCGCUUUCGCUGCAAUCAGCUGCCGUUUGCAGCAUAAUAAUAUUAGUUGUUUGUUCGCAGAAGCAGGUUGAAACUAGACCAGUUUUCCGGUGUCCAAAACCGACCACGAAUCCAAUUCUUGUCCAUGUAUUCCAGCAGCCUUGCCAGUUCCUGUGGUGCUGAGUCCCGCAAACCGUCAAAUACGGAAGGAAGAUACGCAAGGCAAAGAAGACGGAAUACAAAAUCUCGAAUUGGAUUGGGCCCUUUUUUGUUAUAAGCUGAAGAAAGCUUUAGGUCGCGAAUCUUCUUCAAGAUAGCUUGACACCAAUGGAAAUUGCAUCCUUGGUGGAUUGAUGAUUAAUAUCUUAAAUAAAUAAAUUGUGCUUCUUGACUUCAAUAGGUUA